AUGGAGGUGGUUGACAAGAUUGCCGGGCCAGAGGGCCCUUGGGUGGCCACUGCCCGGCAGCCAAAUAAUUCAGAGUUGCCAGCAUCAGUAGUGAUAGAUGCAGCUAGGGAAGGGGAGGGCACGGAGCAGCCCGAUGAGAAGGACCCGUCGGCACAAGGCGGGGAGAGCUUCCGGUUCCGGGGCGAGGAAUCGUCGGGUGAGGGUGGCCGGAGUUCGUUCUCCGGGGCGAGCCACCCUCCGGAGCCAAUCGAUGUGGAUGUUAUGAGCACCGUGUAUGUUUCGGUUGACGAGGAGAAGACCGGGCCACCGGGGUGCUUGCUGCGAGGCCCGUCAGCCAAAGCACCGUCCAUGGAAGACAUUUCUGUCCAUGCCGCAGACCUGGAACCCAAUGUGGUUGCUUUGGUUGAAGAGAUGAAGGUGCCCGGUGCCCCUGUUCCAGAGCCUCCUGGCGAGGCCGUGCCCUCAACUCAGUCGUCGGAGGAGAAGGAUCGCACCGGUGACAGCGCCGGUGCCACACGCAUCAGGAACAGCUGCACAAGCACACGCAGAAGCGGAUCCGUUGCCGGUGAGCCCGCGGUGACCGCCGGGAGGACGCAAGACAGCGCAAAGGGCAGCUUCCGAGGCAGCUCAACGGAGAGCAUAAAGACCAGCGGGAGCCAAGCGAGCGACAGCAGCGACGACAGCGGCCGGAGCAACAGCGUCACCGGAGCCGCCAGCAAGCCCCACAAGGGGAACGACCCUCGGUGGCGGGCGAUCCUCGCCGUCCGGGCCCGGGGCGGCGCGCUGGGGAUGAGCCACUUCAGGCUGCUGAGGCGGCUCGGGUGCGGCGACAUCGGCAGCGUGUACCUGUCGGAGCUGAGCGGGACGGGGUGCCACUUCGCGAUGAAGGUGAUGGACAAGGCGUCGCUGGCGGGGCGGAGGAAGCUGAGCAGGGCGCGGACGGAGAGGGAGAUCCUGCAGCUCCUGGACCACCCCUUCCUCCCCACCCUGUACGCGCACUUGGAGACCGACCGCUUCUCGUGCCUGCUCAUGGAGUUCUGCCCCGGCGGCGACCUGCACGCGCUGCGGCAGCGCCAGCCGCGGAAGCACUUCUCCGAGUACGCGGCGAGGUUUUAUGCUGCGGAGGUACUCCUAGCUCUGGAGUAUUUGCACAUGCUGGGGGUGGUGUACCGGGACCUGAAGCCGGAGAACGUGCUGGUGCGCGACGACGGCCACAUCAUGCUCUCCGACUUCGACCUCUCGCUGCAGCAGUGCGCGGUGUCGCCGACGCUCGUCAGAGCGCCGGCGUGCGACUCCGACCCCAGGAGGGCAGGCGGCGCCUUCUGCGUGCGGCCCUCCGGCUGCAUGGAGCCCUCCGCUGCCUGCGUCCAGCCCGCGUGCUUCAUGCCCAGGCUGUUCGGCCAGAGGAGCAGGAGGCGGCGGCGGUGCUCCGAGCCGGGGCAGGGCGUGCCGGAGCUGGUGGCGGAGCCGACGGCGGCGCGGUCGAUGUCGUUCGUGGGGACGCACGAGUACCUGGCUCCGGAGAUCAUCAAGGGCGAGGGCCACGGCAGCGCCGUCGACUGGUGGACGCUGGGCGUCUUCCUGCACGAGCUGCUCUACGGCCGGACGCCCUUCAAGGGGGCGGGCAACCGCGCCACGCUCUUCAACGUCGUCGGCCAGCAGCUGCGCUUCCCGGAGUCACCGCCGACGAGCCACGCCGCCAGGGACCUCGUCAGGGGCCUGCUGGUCAAGGAGCCGCAGCAGCGGCUCGGCGUCAAGCGGGGCGCCGCAGAGAUCAAGCAGCACCCCUUCUUCCAGGGGGUCAACUGGGCGCUCAUCCGGUGCAGCACGCCUCCCGAGGUGCCCAAGCCCGUCGAGGCCGAGCCGCCAGCGAAAUGCGGAGCAACCCAGCAGCCGACGGUGAUCGGCGCCGCCGAGGUGAAGUCCGGCGGCAAGUUCCUCGACUUCGAAUUCUUUUAG
rnacentral:rRNA from 1 species